rnacentral:rRNA from 1 species
AAGUUUUAAGUUUGAAAGAUGCAAUUGCAUCACUCAAAGAUGAUCCCGCGUUGUAUUAGCUAGUUGGUGAGGUAAAGGCUCACCAAGGCGAUGAUACAUAGCCGACCUGAGAGGGUGAUCGGCCACAUUGGGACUGAGACACGGCCCAAACUCCUACGGGAGGCAGCAGUAGGGAAUCUUCGGCAAUGGACGAAAGUCUGACCGAGCAACGCCGCGUGAGUGAAGAAGGUUUUCGGAUCGUAAAACUCUGUUGGUAGAGAAGAACGUUGGUGAGAGUGGAAAGCUCAUCAAGUGACGGUAACUACCCAGAAAGGGACGGCUAACUACGUGCCAGCAGCCGCGGUAAUACGUAGGUCCCGAGCGUUGUCCGGAUUUAUUGGGCGUAAAGCGAGCGCAGGUGGUUUAUUAAGUCUGGUGUAAAAGGCAGUGGCUCAACCAUUGUAUGCAUUGGAAACUGGUAGACUUGAGUGCAGGAGAGGAGAGUGGAAUUCCAUGUGUAGCGGUGAAAUGCGUAGAUAUAUGGAGGAACACCGGUGGCGAAAGCGGCUCUCUGGCCUGUAACUGACACUGAGGCUCGAAAGCGUGGGGAGCAAACAGGAUUAGAUACCCUGGUAGUCCACGCCGUAAACGAUGAGUGCUAGAUGUAGGGAGCUAUAAGUUCUCUGUAUCGCAGCUAACGCAAUAAGCACUCCGCCUGGGGAGUACGACCGCAAGGUUGAAACUCAAAGGAAUUGACGGGGGCCCGCACAAGCGGUGGAGCAUGUGGUUUAAUUCGAA